rnacentral:rRNA from 1 species
AUGCCUAACACAUGCAAGUCGAACGCCUGUAGCAAUACAGGAGUGGCGGACGGGUGAGUAACACGUGGGAAUCUACCCAGUAGCCUGGAAUAACUGCGGGAAACUGCAGCUAAUACCGGAUACGCCCCGAGGGGGAAAGGAGCAAUCCACUAUUGGAGGAGCCCGCGCCCGAUUAGCUAGUUGGUGAGGUAACGGCUCACCAAGGCGAUGAUCGGUAGCUGGUUUGAGAGAACGACCAGCCACACUGGGACUGAGACACGGCCCAG